GGGUUGUGAGGUUAAGCGACUAAGCGUACACGGUGGAUGCCUAGGCAGUCAGAGGCGAUGAAGGGCGUGCUAAUCUGCGAAAAGCGUCGGUAAGGUGAUAUGAACCGUUACAACCGACGAUACCCGAAUGGGGAAACCCAGUGCAAUUCGUUGCACUAUUGCAUGGUGAAUACAUAGCCAUGCAAGGCGAACCGGGGGAACUGAAACAUCUAAGUACCCCGAGGAAAAGAAAUCAACCGAGAUUCCCCUAGUAGCGGCGAGCGAACGGGGAGGAGCCCAGAGUCUGAAUCAGUUUGUGUGUUAGUGGAAGCGUCUGGAAAGUCGCACGGUACAGGGUGAUAGUCCCGUACACAAAAACACACUUGCUGUGAACUCGAUGAGUAGGGCGGGACACGUGACAUCCUGUCUGAAUAUGGGGGGACCAUCCUCCAAGGCUAAAUACUCCUGACUGACCGAUAGUGAACCAGUACCGUGAGGGAAAGGCGAAAAGAACCCCGGCGAGGGGAGUGAAAUAGAACCUGAAACCGUGUACGUACAAGCAGUGGGAGCACCUUCGUGGUGUGACUGCGUACCUUUUGUAUAAUGGGUCAGCGACUUAUAUUUUGUAGCAAGGUUAACCGAAUAGGGGAGCCGUAGGGAAACCGAGUCUUAACUGGGCGUCUAGUUGCAAGGUAUAGACCCGAAACCCGGUGAUCUAGCCAUGGGCAGGUUGAAGGUUGGGUAACACUAACUGGAGGACCGAACCGACUAAUGUUGAAAAAUUAGCGGAUGACUUGUGGCUGGGGGUGAAAGGCCAAUCAAACCGGGAGAUAGCUGGUUCUCCCCGAAAGCUAUUUAGGUAGCGCCUCGUGAACUCAUCUUCGGGGGUAGAGCACUGUUUCGGCUAGGGGGUCAUCCCGACUUACCAAACCGAUGCAAACUCCGAAUACCGAAGAAUGUUAUCACGGGAGACACACGGCGGGUGCUAACGUCCGUCGUGAAGAGGGAAACAACCCAGACCGCCAGCUAAGGUCCCAAAGUCAUGGUUAAGUGGGAAACGAUGUGGGAAGGCAUAGACAGCCAGGAUGUUGGCUUAGAAGCAGCCAUCAUUUAAAGAAAGCGUAAUAGCUCACUGGUCGAGUCGGCCUGCGCGGAAGAUGUAACGGGGCUAAACCAUGCACCGAAGCUGCGGCAGCGACACUUAGGUGUUGUUGGGUAGGGGAGCGUUCUGUAAGCCGUUGAAGGUGACCUGUGAGGGUUGCUGGAGGUAUCAGAAGUGCGAAUGCUGACAUAAGUAACGAUAAUGCGGGUGAAAAACCCGCACGCCGGAAGACCAAGGGUUCCUGUCCAACGUUAAUCGGGGCAGGGUGAGUCGACCCCUAAGGCGAGGCUGAAAAGCGUAGUCGAUGGGAAACAGGUUAAUAUUCCUGUACUUGGUGUUACUGCGAAGGGGGGACGGAGAAGGCUAGGCUAGCCGGGCGACGGUUGUCCCGGUUUAAGCAUGUAGGCGGAGCGACUUGGUAAAUCCGGUUGCUUAUCAACGCUGAGGUGUGAUGACGAGCCACUACGGUGGUGAAGUAGUUGAUGCCAAGCUUCCAGGAAAAGCCUCUAAGCAUCAGGUAACAUUAAAUCGUACCCCAAACCGACACAGGUGGUCAGGUAGAGAAUACUCAGGCGCUUGAGAGAACUCGGGUGAAGGAACUAGGCAAAAUGGUGCCGUAACUUCGGGAGAAGGCACGCUGGCAUUAGGUAAAGAGACUUGCUCUCGGAGCUGAAGCCAGUCGCAGAUACCAGCUGGCUGCAACUGUUUAAUAAAAACACAGCACUGUGCAAACACGAAAGUGGACGUAUACGGUGUGACGCCUGCCCGGUGCUGGAAGGUUAAUUGAUGGGGUCAGCCUUACGGCGAAGCUCUUGAUCGAAGCCCCAGUAAACGGCGGCCGUAACUAUAACGGUCCUAAGGUAGCGAAAUUCCUUGUCGGGUAAGUUCCGACCUGCACGAAUGGCGUAAUGAUGGCCAGGCUGUCUCCACCCGAGACUCAGUGAAAUUGAACUCGCUGUGAAGAUGCAGUGUACCCGCGGCAAGACGGAAAGACCCCGUGAACCUUUACUAUAGCUUGACACUGAACAUUGAGCCUUGAUGUGUAGGAUAGGUGGGAGGCAUUGAAGUGUGGACGCCAGUCUGCAUGGAGCCAACCUUGAAAUACCACCCUUUAAUGUUUGAUGUUCUAACUCGGCCCCGUAAUCCGGGGUGAGGACAGUGUCUGGUGGGUAGUUUGACUGGGGCGGUCUCCUCCCAAAGAGUAACGGAGGAGCACGAAGGUUAGCUAAUCACGGUCGGACAUCGUGAGGUUAGUGCAAAGGCAUAAGCUAGCUUGACUGCGAGAGUGACGGCUCGAGCAGGUACGAAAGUAGGUCUUAGUGAUCCGGUGGUUCUGAAUGGAAGGGCCAUCGCUCAACGGAUAAAAGGUACUCCGGGGAUAACAGGCUGAUACCGCCCAAGAGUUCAUAUCGACGGCGGUGUUUGGCACCUCGAUGUCGGCUCAUCACAUCCUGGGGCUGAAGUAGGUCCCAAGGGUAUGGCUGUUCGCCAUUUAAAGUGGUACGCGAGCUGGGUUUAGAACGUCGUGAGACAGUUCGGUCCCUAUCUGCCGUGGGCGUUGGAAGAUUGAGAGGGGCUGCUCCUAGUACGAGAGGACCGGAGUGGACGAAUCACUGGUGUUCGGGUUGUCAUGCCAAUGGCAUUGCCCGGUAGCUAAAUUCGGAAGAGAUAACCGCUGAAAGCAUCUAAGCGGGAAACUUGCCUCGAGAUGAGUCUUCCCUGGGGCUUUAAGCCCCCUGAAGGAACGUUAAAGACUAUGACGUUGAUAGGCUGGGUGUGUAAGUGCAGCGAUGCAUUGAGCUAACCAGUACUAAUGAUCCGUGAGGCUUAACCUUACAACACCAAAGGUGUUUUG
rnacentral:rRNA from 1 species